CAGAGUUGCAAAGACUCCACUAAACCAUUGUGAACCGUACCACAUCUACCGUUGCUUCGGCGGCGGCCCAGCGCCCCCCGGGUCCCCCCGCGGGCGCCCGCCGGAGGGUAUACCAAACUCUUAUAACAGUAGUGCCUCUCUGAGUAUUCUUAUACUGAAUAAGUCA
rnacentral:misc_RNA from 1 species